rnacentral:rRNA from 1 species
GACGAACCGUGCGAACGUUGUUCGGAAUCACUGGGCUUAAAGGGCGCGUAGGCGGCUUUUCAAGUCAGGGGUGAAAUCCGGCAGCUCAACUGUCGAAGUGCCCUUGAUACUGAUGAGCUCGAGGGAGGUAGGGGUCUGUGGAACUUCCGGUGGAGCGGUGAAAUGCGUUGAUAUCGGAAGGAACGCCGGUGGCGAAAGCGACGGACUGGACCUCUUCUGACGCUGAGGCGCGAAAGCCAGGGGAGCAAACGGG